GCCUGGGUGGCUCAGUAGGUUAAGCAUCUGACUUCGGCUCAGGUCAUGAUCUCACAGUUUGUGAGUUCGAGCCCCGCAUCAGGCU
rnacentral:tRNA from 1 species